rnacentral:misc_RNA from 1 species
GAUGAAGAACGCAGCGAAAUGCGAUAAGUAAUGUGAAUUGCAGAAUUCAGUGAAUCAUCGAAUCUUAGAACGCACCUUGCGCCCUUUGGCUAUUCCGAAGGGCAUGCCUGUUUGAGUAUCAUGAACACCUCAACUCUUCACGGCUUGCCGUGAUGAGUUUGGACUUUGGGGGUCUUGCUGGCCUACGAGCCAGCUCCUCUCAAAUGUAUUAGCUUGCCGGUGUUUGGUGGCAUCACAGGUGUGAUAACUAUCUACGCUUGUGGUUUUCCACUAGGUAACCUUCAGCAAUGGAGGUUCACCGGAGCUCACAAAUGUCUCUCCUUGCCAAGGACAGAUUUUGACCAUUUGAUCUCAAAUCAGGUAGGACUACCCGCUGAACUUAAGCAUAUCAAUAAGCGGAGGA